UCUUCCGUAAAGAUAGUCGUUAACACCGGAAAUACCCUUCGUCUCGCCCGUUUACUAGAGGAAGGGGGAAACUCGGCUCUCCCGGCGUGCCCCACGGCAGGGGGGCGGUGCUAGGGACGCGUUGCGGGCGCAGCCAGUACCUAGAGGCUGAGGCUCCCGUCAGGCUGUGCGGGGGCAUUUUUGAACCACACGACUCUCCCAUCCCAGCCGAGAAGGAGAAUGGGGAUGUGAAAGGAGAAGGAGUGUGGUGCGCUGGACUCCUCCACAGACUACUGGGUUUUCCUGGACUUCCAGGCGGGCCAGGUGGCAAGGAGAUAUCAGGUGCUACCACAGCCCUGUAGUUUACCUAGGCUUGAUUUGUGACCCAAGAUGUGAUCUAUCCUGGAG